GUAAAUAAUGGGGUAUAAGGCUUAUUCUUAGAAUAAUUAAAAGGGAAAGUGGUGAAAAUCCGCUGCAGCCCCCGCUACUGUAUACGGCGACAAAUUCUAAAACCACUGGGAAAACCGGGAAGGGAGAAGGAGAAUGACCCGUGAGUCAGGAGACCUACCUUAUAUUUCGGCGAUAA
rnacentral:ncRNA from 2 species